AUUGGAAGCCAUAAAGUUCAUUCAGAAACAAGCUCAUCAUAACAUCACCUUCCAUUUCCAUAUCCACGACACCUCCAAAUAGUAUAGCCCGCUUUUUAUGAAUGCACAUAGAGAAGCCAGCACGAGCACCGGGAGGCAUGCCACUUUUUUUAACCUUGUUCCAUUCCCAUGUCUUAGGAUCAAGAGACCACAUGUCUGAGUGAACAUUUCCCUUCUCUGAGCCACUUUUAUCAGAUGAUACUUCUUUGGAAUAACCACCAUACAGAUAUAUCUCAUCUUGAUAGACAAAAAACUGGAAGCCACUUCGAGCACUUGGCCACAUGCAUCCAGGUGUAGGUUUUAUUUCUUGCCACUUAUACUGAUCAAGAUCAAAUACAUGAAGGUCAUUGUAAUACCUGACUUCCCGAAGAGUGUCAUAGAAGCCUCCAAAAACUAUGAUCUUGUGCUUGUACAAAAUCAUGCGGUGACCUGAA
rnacentral:misc_RNA from 1 species